rnacentral:rRNA from 1 species
UACGAAGGGGGCUAGCGUUGCUCGGAAUCACUGGGCGUAAAGCGCACGUAGGCGGCUUUCUAAGUCAGGGGUGAAAUCCUGGAGCUCAACUCCAGAACUGCCUUUGAUACUGGAAAGCUUGAGUUCGGGAGAGGUGAGUGGAACUGCGAGUGUAGAGGUGAAAUUCGUAGAUAUUCGCAAGAACACCAGUGGCGAAGGCGGCUCACUGGCCCAUUACUGACGCUGAGGUGCGAAAGCGUGGGGAGCAAACAGG